CACAGUUUGAUCUGAUCCAUAGCUGUGGGCUUCAGCUAGCUUGCGCACAGAAGUGGCUUGAGCGGCUUGGUUUUCCCACCCAUGAACCCUAAGCACUAAGCUAACAUCAUGCAGGACCAGACAGAGUGCACAUGCUCUGUGCUCUCACUGCUGCAUGACUCCGGGGCAGAUGCCAUCAUGCCCAUUGUUAGCGGCAGAGCAGAAAAGAAGUGAUUUCAGCGUUCGCUACACCUGAAAGGACCAAUCUCCAUUAGCAAAUGGAGGUCAGCUGCAUUAGAUUCCCACACUAAACAUAGUUAUUGAGUAACACGGAGAAUAAGGCUGAAUGACUUGGACGGCAUCUGAAUUCAGAGAGGCUCGGAGGCUGAGGUGGAGGUAGCAGCCGUUCAAAUGCUUGUGUGUGACUGAUCCGACCUGACUUCGGCAGCACAGAAGGCUCAAUUUGGGUCUACAUUGCACAUUCCAGGGCACCUCUGAAGUCAACCACGCACACAAACAUUUACUCAAACCCAUAAUGCCAAAUCCAGCAAUGAGGAAUACACAGAAGAGAGAAGAGAGCUGACAGCUCCGAUGAGAUGCAACCUCAGGGUUUCUCAGGUAUUCCGUGCUUUAUGGACAUGCAAGGGCAUUAGAUGAUAAAACAAGGAAUGGAGGACAAAAGACAAAGAGAUGACACCUUGUUGAGUUUUUGCAGUGAAUCUAAAAUAGCCAGAAGCCAAGAGCUGGUCUAUUAUUAUUAUUAUCAUCUCUCCAUUAACACAAAUACUUUGUCCUUGGCUUGACUGCUAACUUGUGUCUCACACACAAGAUAUCAUGCAAAGGAAGCAUAACACUAUACUAUUGCUCAUAUUUAGGCUUAG